rnacentral:rRNA from 1 species
GACGAACGCUGGCGGCGUGCCUAAUACAUGCAAGUCGAACGAACUCUGGUAUUGAUUGGUGCUUGCAUCAUGAUUUACAUUUGAGUGAGUGGCGAACUGGUGAGUAACACGUGGGAAACCUGCCCAGAAGCGGGGGAUAACACCUGGAAACAGAUGCUAAUACCGCAUAACAACUUGGACCGCAUGGUCCGAGUUUGAAAGAUGGCCUUUGUGCUAUCGCUUUUGGAUGGAUCCGCGGCGCAUUAGCUAGUUGGUGAGAUAAAGGCUCAC